CCUGCGGAACACUGCUGCCACAUCCACCUGCUUAGAAACAUCCCCGGUUUCUGAAGAGCUUGGAAUUAGCAUCCUAACGCUAAGAUAACACUUCCACAUUACCAUAAACAAGUCAUUAAGUAUAAUUAAUACUAAAUUACCAAACUGUAGAAAAUGCUGCUGUAACUGUUGCUAAUAAGAUGUAGGUUGACACAGCUGCUGGUUCUUUGCAAUCAGGAUGGCCAGGCUCAUGUAAGCCCCGUGAAGGCUCAGGUUUUUAUUGUUAUUACUUUCAAACCUUCUCACCUUUUGACAUUUUCUCAUCUUAUCAUUAGCAUGACUAAAGCCAAGUUCUAAACAUCCUAUCUAGGCUGAAAAGCUUCUACUUAAUGUUCUGUCAAACUUCUACCUACUGUUUUCUGUCAUCAGGCAAUGCCUUAAGUCUAUUAAAUUAAGAUUGGAUGCGAUAAGGCUGCUCUGUCUAGAGGCCCGUUGCCAAAUGACUGAGUGAACUGUAUCAGAGCAUUUAUCGGACAACUACUUGCUGGCCCUCGAGCAGCAAAAGGAGGAGCAGAAGCUUUUGGACUGGCAGAGACCUGCUGAGGUUUGUACAUUAACUGCAGGCCCUUCCAGCACAUCUAACUGUACAACUGCGUGUGUUCCUGAGAUGGAUGAACAUACAGCAGAACAAGCAGGCACCCUGAGGAGUGGCUAAGGCUGCACUUCCUGAAGAGCACCUCAAAUGAGAGCUUGUGUGUGUGACUGAUGAUAAACCACGACCUGGUUAGCAGUACAGGGAUCUUCUCUCUUGUCCCACCAGCCAGUUGUGUUCAGAAGAAAGGUGUCCUCUUCUACACAUCCUCCCAAACUCCAACAAUAAAUGGAAGAUCUCGGAGAACUACAAGUUUUAUCAAUGAGGAUCUUUGAUACACUUUCAUUAAUUCCACUACCAAAUGUGAACCUAACUACUAACAGGGACCUAACACUAACUAAAGGAAAGAGAGCAUAUACAAUAAUUCCUACCAUUAAAUUAGAACUAAGCCUUAAAUAGGGGAAGUAAUAAGAGAAAUUUGGAUUACUAUCCCUUCCUUCUCCCCCAUGAGAAACGGGACUCCAGACACAUUUCACUGUGUGGAAAUUUCCAAUUUGUAAUCUGAUUAAGAUGUCUGACCACAGUUGUUUGAGUGAGCCAUGAGACACUUGUCAAUGCAAACUAUGUUGAAGUUCAAGAUCUACAGAGCAGUGUAGAUCUUCGGAGUAAUGCUGGAAAGGUUGGUUUUGUUUUUUUUUUUUCCUCCCCAAUUUCUGUCAUUAAGGGAAGUUUUAAGCAUGCUUGAAAUAAAGACCAUACACACUAUCAUGACUUUUCCCAUGUAGACAAGACAAUUAAGGCCAAAUGACAUCCAGUAUUAUUCACCAACAGCUGCUUCACCC